rnacentral:lncRNA from 1 species
AAGAAAGAAACUGAAAAAGACACGGAAGAGCUUAUAGGCAAAAUAGGGUAGAGGAAGAGAUUGGUUUUAUUUUAGCUAAGCUUGCUUUUCUGUUCUCUUUUGGCUAAAGGUUAAGAAAGAAAAUAGUCUGUAAAUGAGGACUUCUUGAAUUUUCAAUAGAGUCUAAAAGGUUGAAGAUGGAGCAUUUUAUGACAACUCAUGCAGACUGAUGUCAGGAUGAAUAUAAAAGUGAAUUCCUGAGUACUUACGUGCAGGAAUGAUCUUUCAUCUGAAAAAAAAAUGCAUGUCUGUGUGGAGGAGUGUUGCUCAAGUUGCUCUUUAAGUAAUUCACAUGAUGACUCCCUGAAUUCCUCCUGGUAUUUCAUUAGAGAUGCUGUCUUCCUCCCUUGCAACGGUGACUGCUGUAACUAUUCUCUGAAACAAAUAGCAGCACUGUCACUUUCUUCCUCAUCUAAAAGGUGUU